rnacentral:rRNA from 1 species
AAAGGAAUAGACGGGGACCCGCACAAGCGGUGGAGCAUGUGGUUUAAUUCGACGAUAAGCGAGGAACCUUACCAAGGCUUGACAUGUAGCUGCAUCACUCAGAAAUGAGUGCGCCUUCGAGGGUGCUACACAGGUGCUGCACGGUUGUCGUCAGCUCGUGCCGUGAGGUGUUCACUUAAGUGUGAUAACGAGCGCAACCCCUAUUACCAGUUACAAGUGUCUGGUGAAACUGCCGGCGUUUAAGCCGGAGGAAGGUGGGGAUGACGUCAAAUCAGCGUGGCUCUUACGCCUUGGGCGACACACGUGCUACAAUGGGAUGUUACAAAGGGACGCCAAGGAGCAAUCCGGAGCAAAUCCUCUAAACCAUCCCCCAGUUCGGAUUGAGGGCUGCAACUCGCCCUCAUGAAGCCGGAAUCGCUAGUAACCGUAGAUCAGCCUCGCUACGGUGAAUACGUUCUCGGGUUUUGUACACACCGCCCGU